UGCGCUAAGAAAAAAUGACUAAAUAGAAGAACAAGUACAUCAUGUUAUCUAUAGAAUAUUGCAAUACAGGUAAUUAAUUAUUUUUCUAUAUCUACUUUUUUGCAAGAAUUUUCAUAAACCACUUUUGAUUUUAUAAUAUUUUUUGUUCUUUUUCUUACCACUUUCAUGCAUCAUGAGUUAUUAUUAACUUUUGAUAUUAUUUUUAAUCUUAAAAAAUAGUCUGGGCAUGCAAAUUUGAAAUAAGAGUACAUAAAAGAGUUUUUUAAUUGUUGAGAUGUUCUAUUAAAGAAAAAGAAUAGAUAUAAGACGUCAAUAAUGAAUGUUAGAACAAAGAGUCACUUUUUAAGAACAGAAGAAAGAAAAUUUAUCAAAACUAAUUAAUUAUGUUUUGGUUAACUGAAGUGAAUCAAUUAUUGUAUAUUAUGACAUCGAUUCAUGCACUAAUAAAAUUUUCUAAUUUAUUCAUAGUUCAUUCUUAUUCUAAACUUUAUACACUUUUUUAUUCAAUUGAAGUAAAAUCCACAUGACAUAAAUAGAAGCUAUUUUAAAAAAAUUAUUUACUUGACAUAAAUACACCCACCCCCGCACCCCACAUUCCACACCCAAAAAAAAACCACGCACAUUAAGUUUAAAGAAAAGGGAAGAAAAAACUUACUAAGAAAUUACAUGAUUCCAAUUCUUGCCAAAAGUGGUCUCCUAUUUUUAAUCUAAAUCAAAAACCACCUUUUAAUUAUUUUGGUUUAUGAAUUCCUUGAUUUGUCUAUUGCAAAACUUCUAUAAAAGGAAUUGUAAUUUUAAAUUCUUUUCACUAAUUUUUUUCUAGCUUUUUCGAGUUUUAUCUGUAUACAGAGUAACUUUAUUAGAGAAAGUGAACAAGAUAUAAUUGAAUUUUGUUUCAGUGUUUAAGUUACUCCUUAAGUCUUUUGACAUUCCCUUGACAUAUCCUACGUUGAAAUUGAUGUUUGAGCAUUGUCAUUCCAAUAUGCGAUUGAAUUACAUUUCUUUGCAGUAGUUAUGAUGUGUGAUUUGCAACUAUUAUUUCUAUCUUGAAUGUCAGUAUUAUGUGCUCUUUCUAAAAUGACAGAAGAGCGUACAACCACAUCGUGUUAUCAAUCGUAGCAGCCACCCUUAAAAGAAUGCACAAUAGUCCACCGAUUGAGCGCUCUUACGCCGAAGAUGAACGGGGCUAAGUGAUUUGCCUAAGUUGUGGGAUGUAAAAAUACAUCAGUAGGAGAGCAUUCCGCCUUAUAAAGAAGCCUCCGCGCGAGUAGUGGUAGACAAAGCGAAAGCGAGAAUGUUAGCUUGAGUAGCACAAACAUUGGUAAGAAUCCAAUGCCCUGAAAAUCUAAGGGUUCCUCCGCAAAGUUUGUCCAUGAAGGGUGAGUCAGGGCCUAAGAUCAUGCCGAAAUACAUAGUUGAUGAACAACAGGUGAAUAUUCCUGUACUACCCCUUAUUGGUCUUGAGGAUAGGAGAAGGCUAGGUUAGCCGAAAGAUGGUUAUUUGUUCAAGAGUAUAAGGUGUCCCUACCUUUUUUCUAGGGUAAAAAGGGGUAGAGAAAGUGCCUUGAGCCAAUGUUCGAAUACCAGGAGCUAUGACGCAGAAGUAAACCAUGCCAUACUCCCAUGAAAAGGUAGAACAACUUUGGACAAGAGGGUACCUGUACCAAAAAUCGACACAUAUGGACAGGUAAAGAAGACUUAGGGGCGCGAGACAACUCUCUCUAAGGAACUCGGCAAAAUAUCCCCGUAACUUCAGGAGAAGGGGUGCCUCCUCACAAAGAGAGUCGCAGUGACCAGGCUCGGACGACUGUUUACCAAAAACGCAGGUCUCCAUAAAGUCGUAAGACCAUGUAUGGGGGAUGACGCCUUCUUAAUGCCAGAAAUUCAAGGAAUUUGGUGACCUAAUGAUAAGGAAGUCGAUGAUUGAAGCCCCGGUGAACAACAGUCGUAACUAUAAUGAUCCUAAGGUAGAAAAAUUUCUUAUCGGGUAUGUUUUAACCAACAUAAAAGGCGUAACAAUUUGGUCACUCUCUCGAAGAGAGGCUCAGUAAAAUACACAUGCCUAUGAAGAUGUAGACUACCUGCACCUGGACAGAAAGAUUCUAUGAAGCUUUACUAUUUCCAGGAAUUAGCUUUGGGCCUUUCUUGUGCAGCUUGAGUGAAAGGCAAAAAAAGUCCUCCUUCCAAUGUGGGUGGGGGACGAGGCAUCAGUAAGAUACCAUUCUGGAAGAACUAGAAUUCUAACCUUGUGUCAAGACCAACGAGUCAAGGGACAGUCUCAGUAGACAGUUUCUAUAGGCGGUAGGCCUCCCAAAAGGUAACGAAGGAGUACAAAGAUUUCUUUGGACUUGACGGAGAUUUUCCCUCAAGUGCAAAGGCAGAAGGGAGCUUGACUGUAAGACGCACCCGCCAAGAAGGGACAAAAUUUGGCCUCAGUGAUCCAACCGUGCCGAGUGAAAGGAUCGUCACUCAAUGGAUAAAAGUUACUCUAUGGAUAACAUGUUGAUCUUUCCCAAGGGCUCUCAUCGACGAGAAGUUUUACCACCUUGAUGUCGGCUCUUCACAACCUGGGGUUGUAUUAUGUUUUAAGGGUUACGUUGUUCGCCCAUUAAAGCGGUACGUGAGCUGAGUUUAGAACGUCAUGAGACAGAUCGGGUAUGUGAAUCUUUUUACUAAUUUUGUACUCAAUAAUAUCAUGCACACAGUAAUUUAAUUUUU
rnacentral:rRNA from 1 species